rnacentral:misc_RNA from 1 species
GAUGAAGAACGUAGCGAAAUGCGAUAAGUAAUGUGAAUUGCAGAAUUCAGUGAAUCAUCGAAUCUUUGAACGCAUCUUGUGCUCCUUGGUAUUCUGAGGAGCAUGCCUGUUUGAGUGUCAUUAAAUUCUCAACUACACUGACUUUGAAUUGGUGUGGCUUGGAUUUGGGGGGAAAAUUGUUGUGGGCUUUUUGUAUAGUCUGCUCCCCUGAAAUUGAUUAGCGGUACCUUUGUGGAACUGUCUACAGGUGUGAUAAUUAUCUACAUCUUAGACAUCUGCUGGAAUGCUGCUUUCUAAACCUUACUUGUAUUGACAAUCUUGACCUCAAAUCAGGUAGGACUACCCGCUGAACUUAAGCAUAUCAAUAAGCGGAGGA